GUGCUUGCCUCUGUAGCACAUAUACUAAAAGUGGAAUGAUACAGAGAAGAUUAGUGUGGCUCCUGCCCAAAAAGCUGAAAAUAAAAUUUUAAAAAUGAAGAUUAGCUAA
ensembl:snRNA U6 U6 spliceosomal RNA